rnacentral:lncRNA from 1 species
CACACACACACACACACAAAUACACAAACUAUACACCUUUCCCAUAAAAUUUGGGGGUAGGGUGGGAAAAGAAGCUAAAUCAAGCUCAAUCCCCCCACUCUGGUCUCUUCUUUCCCAAUACCCCAGUGCCACUGUGGGUGAUUAUACUGGCCCUACGGGUCUUCCUGGGUUUUUUCUUUCUUCCCUUUCCCUCAAAUGUAUUGAGCACUUAAUAAAGGAGCAGAGAUACAACUGUGUCUGGGCUCUCCAAGUGGUGAAAUGACCUGGAAGCUAGAUGCUAGUAACAAGUAGUUUGAGCAGGUCAUUUCAAGUAUUUUUCUGGGGAAUGUGGUGCCCCUGACUGUAAGUGGUGGGGGAGGGGGGCUAAUGGAGCUGGGGUUGGGAUUAUUUUAAAAUUAUAUAUAUAUAUAAAAAGAUAUAUUCUUACAUCUUUUCCUUGCCCUCUGUGCUUUGAAAGCACUGAAUAAAUUGAUCUGUUUUUCUCUUCCACAAAAUUGGAAGAUUUUUUUUUCUUCCAUUUUUUAAAUGUUCUUACCAGUCAUCUUGCCUCGUGGCAUGUCUGUCUAACCUCUCCCUACCCCGUGAUGAAGUGCCAUUUCUGUUAAGUCUCCCUGACCCCCAACUCAGAGGUGCUCAGAGGUACAAGGUGCCCAAGUUUGUCAGUUGAGAUUAAAAGGAACAGAGAAUGUGCAAUACCGUCCAGCUGGGGCCUGUCCUUGCCCUGAGCUAGGUCCUCUCCCUGGGAGCCAGGCCACUUUGACUAGGGUUUGGAGGUAAGAUGUAUGGAAAUGGGGAGUGGUGGCAAGGAGAGCCUAUAGUUCAGUGCCUGUUUAGGUGCUGAGGCCAUAGGGAAGAGGGUAGGGUCUUCCCUGUUUUUAUCCCUUCAGGGUCAAUUACAUAGAAGCUGCUUAUAAUACUAGUAUAGCUCUGUGGCCCUUUGCUCAGUCACUGAGGUUUGAUUUCUCAUCCUCUUUCCCUAUCAUCAUACUCUUCCCAGGAAUUAGCAAGAGGGGUGAAAUCUUUCUUAAUCAUGGUAAAGUAUUAGCCUUCCAUCUCCUCCCUUAGGUUCUGCCCUGUCCCCCUUUCUUAAAGCCUCUACAUUUUACAUCACUGAUUGCCUUGUGUCCUUCCAAGACUUUUUUUUGUUUUUGUUUUUUGUUUUAAUUAACUCCCAUCCUCCAGCUGUGGGCCCUUGUAGACACUAGCCCUCACGCCCUAAGGAUAGGAGGAAAGACCCUGAGUUCAGUGUUCUUUACCACUGGACUCAAACUCUCAGCUAUCAGUAGAGUGGGGAUCAAACCAGUACAAUCUAGCUUCCUCUAGACCUUGAGGCACUACAAGCAGUCAUUCAUGGAUGGUGUCUUAUUCCACAGCAACCUGAAACGGGUGGAUUAGUGGCAAGGCUGGGGUAAAAUUAGGAGACAGAAGUCCUUAUUUGUCGGUUUUAUUUUGUCAGUAGACCACAACAUCUGAACUCCCUCCAUUGCUGAAUAAGUAUUUUUCCUGCAUUAUGAGAUAUAUGUAUGGUAGACAUUUCUUUUUAAAGACCCCGAGAUAAAUGUUUUCCUGCCUUGGUUACCUUUCCUUUCCCCUUUAAGAGGAAUUAGCUAUAGAACCGCUUUGUAAAGAUGCUUCUUGAUAUUUUACUUUUGUUCCUUUCCCCAACCAUUCCCACUUCCCCUUCUCUCCACAGCCCCGAUCCCACUCAUCCUAGGCUCCCUUCCUUUCCAUCAAGAUCUUCAUUAGCUUAUGAUAUUUGCUGCCGAGAUGUUAUAACAAGGACUCAUUCAUGUAUAUAAGCUAUUUCUUGAUCCAUUUAAAAGGAAUUGUACAUUGUGUAGAAAAAAAAAAAACAUGAAAAAGAGAAAAAAAAAAAAAGCCCUAGCCAUGGAUAUUGUGAAACUGUGUUAUGUCAUUUUGUAAUGUGCCCGUUUGUGUAUGAUCCGUGCAAAAGGGUUUCUGGGGAAGGGGAGGGUGGAGGGAGGCAGGACUGUGGAGGGUGGGGAGAGGAGUGGGCCGGGCCCAGCACACUGAGACUGGCAGCUGCUCCAACCCCAUCCCUCCCUUAAAGAUGCCACCUCCCCCACCACCCACCCCUAUUUUGUGCCUUGCCCUCCCCACCCUGGAGUAAUCUCUCCAGGUCACCAGCACUGCCUUGGCAGAGCCCACUCCCUACCCCAGCCUGCCCACUCUUCCUACCCCAGCAUUAGGUUGAUAAUGUGGGAAAGUGCUGGAGGUUGGGAGGUAGCCGAGGAAUGGGGCAGUUCCUGGGGGCAUUGAAACCAAGUAUUAUUAUGAAUUGUAAUUGUAUUUGCACUGUUUUCCCCCUCUGAUUGCAUCAGCAUAUAUACAAUAUACCUAUAUAACAAAACCCAGUGUCAAAGCUUUCUUAUGCAAGGGAUUUUCCCAACCCUUCAGAAAAAGAACCUCAUGGACUUCUAAAAGGGUAGGUUGUCAGGAGAUAGUAGAAUAGUAGAAAGAAAGAAUUUUAAUUGUCCUAAGGAAGUUCUGUCCGAACCAUUUAAGGAUAUGUGAUUGAGUUGAGGCUGUCUCCUGUAAAUUAUAGGGCUCCAGGUCCAGGACAGUACAAAGAAUCCAGGACACAAGGAGGCACAGUGUGGAUACCUGGGGCCUACUGACUUGCUGGGUGAGCUUUGGUGAAACUGGUAUCUUCAACCAGUGAAUCGAGGGAGAAAACCACUGACCUCCAUGCUCUAAAUUCCACAAUUCUUCCCCCAUCUGCCAAAAAGCAAAAAGCACCUUGAGAUGAGGGAAGUGCUGGGCUGAGAGACCAGGGAGGAAACAAAAGUGGCGUGCUAGUGUUACUUGUGUGACUGUAAAGUUUGGAAAGUUGCCAGUCCCUUGGUUCAGGAUUGGUAUGGGAGAAGUAGUGAUACAGGGUGCUGGGCUGAUGGCAUCUUGGCCCUUGUGUUUCUAGCCAUGUUGUGACCAGCCUCCAAGCCUCACCUCACAAUCACAAUCCUUAAGGGUGGUUAACCAGCAAACACCCCCCAGGUUGGUAAUCUAGUUGUGAGCUAUAGGAUGUGGAAAUUUCCCUCAUCUUGGUAACAAGUAGGGCUCAGAUGUAGCCCAUAUCUUUCCUUCCCUCAGAUCUCAUCUGAACCCCCAAAGGCAACUGUUCCACAGUCUGUCUCCUUCAAAGGCCCAGUUUAUCCCUCCCCCCAGCCCCCCACCCCACCCCACCCCCAAUUUCCUGAGCUGAGUAUUUCUAUUCUCUAGUUAUUGCCAUUAAAGCCUGGAAAAAACAUAGGUUGAUGGGUGAGGCCUUGGUGAAGGUGGAGGAUAGAUUGGGGUGGGUGGUGGGGAGCAGGGAGGUGGGGUGGCAAUGGCCUUCCCUGAAUAGGGUGGGUGGGAGGGAACAAGACCCUUUUGCACAACUCUCUUUUAAGUUUCCUUUUUUUCUUUUCUUUUUUUUUUUUUCUUUUUUUAACUCAUUCUAAUUUUCUGCAUUGUGUUUGGGAAAUAAAAUGAAAAAAAAAAACAAACUAAGACCAAUAGGAACUGGUUUUCAAAAGGUAAAUACACUCCCAUCUGUUUCAGAGGCUGCUGAGCAUUUCAGCAGUGAAGAUUCAAAUAAUAAGCUAAUUUUUGGAGAAAGGAUUAAAAGAAAAAACUUUGUAAUAUUUAUCACUUGCAAGCUAUGUUUAAUAAAGAAAGGAAUGGUUUCU